rnacentral:rRNA from 1 species
UAACGCGUGGGAAUCUGCCCUGUUGUGGGGGAUAACCGAGGGAAACUUCGGCUAAUACCGCAUACGCCCGGGGCAACUCGGGGAAAGAUUGAUCGCAGCAGGAGGGGCCCGCGUCGGAUUAGCUAGUUGGUGGGGUAACGGCCUACCAAGGCGAUGAUCCGUAGCUGGUCUGAGAGGAUGAUCAGCCACACUGGGACUGAGACACGGCCCAGACUCCUACGGGAGGCAGCAGUGGGGUUUAUUGGACAAUGGGCGCAAGCCUGAUCCAGCAAUGCCCCGUCAGUGAUGAAGGCCUUAGGGUUGU